UACGAGAGGCCCAAACGUUAUUCGGAAUCACUGGGCUUAAAGGGCGCGUAGGCGGACUAUCAAGUCUGGGGUGAAAUCCCGCGGCUCAACCGUGGAACUGCCUCAGAUACUGACGGUCUCGAGGGAGGUAGGGGCAUGCGGAACUGUAGGUGGAGCGGUGAAAUGCGUUGAUAUCUACAGGAACUCCGGUGGCGAAAGCGGCGUGCUGGACCUCUUCUGACGCUGAGGCGCGAAAGCUAGGGGAGCAAACGGG
rnacentral:rRNA from 1 species